rnacentral:rRNA from 1 species
UACGGGGGGGGCAAGCGUUGUUCGGAAUUACUGGGCGUAAAGGGCUCGUAGGCGGCCAACUAAGUCAGACGUGAAAUCCCUCGGCUUAACCGGGGAACUGCGUCUGAUACUGGAUGGCUUGAGAUUGGGAGAGGGAUGCGGAAUUCCAGGUGUAGCGGUGAAAUGCGUAGAUAUCUGGAGGAACACCGGUGGCGAAGGCGGCAUCCUGGACCAAUACUGACGCUGAGGAGCGAAAGCCAGGGGAGCAAACGGG